GCCUCUGUGGUGCAAUGGAAAGCAUGUUGGACUUUUAAGCUGCAGUGAUUCAGGUGAGCCCAGCUAACCAUUCAAAGGUUGUGGGUUCAAGUCCCACGAGUGUCA
rnacentral:tRNA from 1 species